CACGAAGUUAGCCGGGGCUUCUUCUACGGUUACCGUCAUUAUCUUCACCGUUGAAAGAGCUUUACAACCCUAGGGCCUUCAUCACUCACGCGGCAUGGCUGGAUCAGGCUUGCGCCCAUUGUCCAAUAUUCCCCACUGCUGCCUCCCGUAGGAGUUUGGGCCGUGUCUCAGUCCCAAUGUGGCUGAUCAUCCUCUCAGACCAGCUAUGGAUCGUCGCCUUGGUAGGCCUUUACCCCACCAACUAGCUAAUCCAACGCGGGCUCAUCAAACCCCGAUAAAUCUUUCCCCCGUAGGGCGUAUGCGGUAUUAAUUCCAGUUUCCCGGAGCUAUUCCGCAGGGCUCGGUAGAUUCCCACGCGUUACUCACCCGUCUGCCGCUCCCCUUGCGGGGCGCUCGACUUGCAUGUGUUAAGCCUGCCGCCAGCGUUCGUUCUGAGCCAGGAUCAAACUCU
rnacentral:rRNA from 1 species